rnacentral:rRNA from 1 species
GACGAACGCUGGCGGCGUGCCUAAUACAUGCAAGUAGAACGCACAGUUUAUACCGUAGCUUGCUACACCAUAAACUGUGAGUUGCGAACGGGUGAGUAACGCGUAGGUAACCUGCCUGGUAGCGGGGGAUAACUAUUGGAAACGAUAGCUAAUACCGCAUAAUAUUGAUUAUUGCAUGAUAAUUGAUUGAAAGAUGCAACUGCAUCACUACCAGAUGGACCUGCGUUGUAUUAGCUAGUAGGUGAGGUAACGGCUCACCUAGGCGACGAUACAUAGCCGACCUGAGAGGGUGAUCGGCCACACUGGGACUGAGACACGGCCCAGACUCCUACGGGAGGCAGCAGUAGGGAAUCUUCGGCAAUGGACGAAAGUCUGACCGAGCAACGCCGCGUGAGUGAAGAAGGUUUUCGGAUCGUAAAGCUCUGUUGUAAGAGAAGAACGGGUGUGAGAGNGGAAAGUUCACACNGNGACGG